AGUGAACGCUGGCGGUAGGCCUAACACAUGCAAGUCGAACGGCAGCACAGUAAGAGCUUGCUCUUACGGGUGGCGAGUGGCGGACGGGUGAGGAAUACAUCGGAAUCUACUUUUUCGUGGGGGAUAACGUAGGGAAACUUACGCUAAUACCGCAUACGACCUACGGGUGAAGGCAGGGGAUCUUCGGACCUUGCGCGAUUGAAUGAGCCGAUGUCGGAUUAGCUAGUUGGCGGGGUAAAGGCCCACCAAGGCGACGAUCCGUAGCUGGUCUGAGAGGAUGAUCAGCCACACUGGAACUGAGCCACGGUCCAGACUCCUACGGGAGGCAGCAGUGGGGAAUAUUGGACAAUGGGCGCAAGCCUGAUCCAGCCAUACCGCGUGGGUGAAGAAGGCCUUCGGGUUGUAAAGCCCUUUUGUUGGGAAAGAAAAGCAGCAGGUUAAUACCCCGCUGUUCUGACGGUACCCAAAGAAUAAGCACCGGCUAACUUCGUG
rnacentral:rRNA from 1 species